CCUACGGGAGGCAGCAGUGAGGAAUAUUGGUCAAUGGACGAGAGUCUGAACCAGCCAAGUAGCGUGAAGGAUGACUGCCCUAUGGGUUGUAAACUUCUUUUAUAAAGGAAUAAAACGAGGCACGUGUGCCCUUUUGCAUGUACUUUAUGAAUAAGGAUCGGCUAACUCCGUGCCAGCAGCCGCGGUAAUACGGAGGAUCCGAGCGUUAUCCGGAUUUAUUGGGUUUAAAGGGAGCGUAGAUGGGUUGUUAAGUCAGUUGUGAAAGUUUGCGGCUCAACCGUAAAAUUGCAAUUGAUACUGGCAGUCUUGAGUACAGUUGAGGUAGGCGGAAUUCGUGGUGUAGCGGUGAAAUGCUUAGAUAUCACGAAGAACUCCGAUUGCGAAGGCAGCUUACUAAACUGCCACUGACAUUGAUGCUCGAAAGUGUGGGUAUCAAACAGGAUUAGAUACCCCAGUAGUC
rnacentral:rRNA from 1 species